GACGAACGCUGGCGGCGUGCUUAACACAUGCAAGUCGAACGGAAAGGCCCUGCUUUUGUGGGGUGCUCGAGUGGCGAACGGGUGAGUAACACGUGAGUAACCUGCCCUUGACUUUGGGAUAACUUCAGGAAACUGGGGCUAAUACCGGAUAGGAGCUCCUGCUGCAUGGUGGGGGUUGGAACGUUUCGGCGGUUGGGGAUGGACUCGCGGCUUAUCAGCUUGUUGGUGGGGUAGUGGCUUACCAAGGCUUUGACGGGUAGCCGGCCUGAGAGGGUGACCGGCCACAUUGGGACUGAGAGACGGCCCAGACUCCUACGGGAGGCAGCAGGGGGGAAUAUUGCACAAUGGGCGGAAGCCUGAUGCAGCAACGCCGCGUGCGUGAUGACGGCCUUCGGGUUGUAAACCGCUUUCGCCUGUGACGAAGCGUGAGUGACGGUAAUGGGUAAAGAAGCACCGGCUAACUACGUG
rnacentral:rRNA from 1 species